rnacentral:rRNA from 1 species
CCUACGGGAGGCAGCAGUGGGGAAUAUUGCGCAAUGGGGGAAACCCUGACGCAGCAACGCCGCGUGCAGGAUGACGGCCUUCGGGUUGUAAACCUCUUUCAGCAGGGAAGAACAUCGCCGUUCCCUGCAGCCGCAGCCCCGGCUAACUACGUGCCAGCAGCCCCGUUACUAGGUAGGGGGCGAGCGUUAUCCGGAUUCAUUGGGAGUAAAGCGCUCGUAGGCGGGUGCCUAGGCGGGACCUCUAACCUCGGGACUCACCCCCGAGCCGGGUCCCGAACUGGGGGCCUCGAGUGCGGUAGGGGAGAUCGGAAUUCCCGGUGUAGCGGUGGAAUGCGCAGAUAUCGGGAAGAACCCCGAUGGCGAGGGCAGAUCGCUGGGCCGGAACUGACGCUGAGGCGCGAAAGCUAGGGGAGCGAACAGGAUUAGAUACCCCGGUAGUC